GACGAACGCUGGCGGCGUGCUUAACACAUGCAAGUCGAACGCUGAAGCUCAGCUUUUGUUGGGUGGAUGAGUGGCGAACGGGUGAGUAACACGUGAGUAACCUGCCUCCUUCUUUGGGAUAACGCCCGGAAACGGGUGCUAAUACUGGAUAUUCACUGGUCUUCGCAUGGGGGUUGGUGGAAAGGGUUUUUCUGGUGGGGGAUGGGCUCGCGGCCUAUCAGCUUGUUGGUGGGGUGAUGGCCUACCAAGGCUUUGACGGGUAGCCGGCCUGAGAGGGUGACCGGUCACAUUGGGACGGAGAUACGGCCCAGACUACUACGGGAGGCAGCAGUGGGGAAUAUUGCACAAUGGGCGCAAGCCUGAUGCAGCGACGCCGCGUGAGGGAUGGAGGCCUUCGGGUUGUGAACCCCUUUCGCUCAUGGUCAAGCCGCAACAAUGGUUGUGGUGAGGGUAGCGGGUAAAGAAGCGCCGGCUAACUACGUG
rnacentral:rRNA from 1 species